AAUAAAAAUAGAACAAGUGAAAUUUUAUGUAAUAAAUUCGUCAAAACUGUCUGUGUAGAUCAGCUUUUAAAUUAAAUUAAAAAAAAAUAUAAUAAUGAUAAGUCAUGAUGAUGUUUGAAACAUCAUCAUGAUGGUUUUGUUUUGUAGAAGAAAAGAAAGGAACGGAUGGAGAAGAAGAAAAGAAAGGAAUAAAAAAAAAGGAAAGGAAUAAAAAAUAGAUGAAAGAAGAAUAAGAGGGAGAGUAGGUCAGAGAGGUGGGGCACUGACGGAUUAAAAGAAGAAAAGAAGAGGAAGUGGACAGCAGUGCAGAGAGCAAGAAGAAUAAGGAAAUAAAGACAGAAGUCAGAGGGAGAGAAGUAAAAAGCUGCCUUUGCAGCACAAGGAGAUGACGCGUGAGCUGGAGAGAGUAUAAAGGAAAAGAUAAAAAAAAAAAAAAAAAAAAAAAAGAAGAGAAAGAAAAAGCAGGAGUCCACAUGGGAGUCAGUCGCAAGGAAAAAAAGGGAAAAUAAUAGAAGAAGAGGAGUGGGCUGCCUUUGGCAGCUGUGAGACAGCUACGGGAGGACACGGAUUGGAAGAAAAAUAAAAAAAAGGAAAGAGUUAGUGCAUUGAGACGGCAUAAAGGAGCAGAGAGGUCAAACGUGAAGGAAAGAAUUGGUGGAAGGCAGAGGGCUGCCCUUUGGGCAGCGUGAGAAACAGAGAGGAGAGAGGUCAGGGGAGGGCAGACUUGAUUUGAGGGAGCUGCCAGCGCAGCUGGGGAAGAAGGCUGCCCUUGCAGCUGGGGAAGAAGGCUGCCCUUGCAGCUGGAGCAAAACCGAAAGAAGGGUGCGCUGCUCUUGGCAGCACCGAGGGCAGAAGCAGCAAGCACUCUCCUCUCUCUCGGUUAAAUCUUUCUAAAUCUAUAUUUUAUUUCUGUUUUAAUAAUGUGUAAUUAAAUUUUAUUUUGGCUAGAGGUUAAUUCAAAACCAUGAAUAUAUUUGUAAUAUGAAUUGAUUACCUUCGGUUGUGAUUUCAUAAGUUGUGAUUUCAAUUUACUUAUCCGUUCGUAUAAAAACUGAUUUGUGUAUGUUGGUUGAGAGUGCACGCUUAAUUUACAUGCAUGAAUUUGAUGCUAGAAUAUAAGUGAAUUUCACCUAAUCGUUAUGAACUUAUUUUCACAAGUAGUAAAGGUUGCUAGUCACAAUCACGUUAAGUAAAUUCUUGGCAAGAGUAUCAUGCUUUUCAUAGUUACGAAUGCCUCGUCAAUGCUUAUAGUUUUCACAAAGUUUAAUGAUCUUUGAUUGUAUCGCUAUUGUGCUUUUCACGUAGGGGACUUUUGAAGAAUAUUUUGAAUUGUUGUAUGCGUUUUUCCGUCCAAUUCAAUAACUUAAGGAAAACUUGAAGAUUAAAAAAGUGCUGUUCACGGUUAAUCUGGAGUAUUGAGAUUCACAAUUUAUUAAAUGAACAACUGGAAAUCAUUUUGUAUGCAAGUAUAACAUGUGUGGAGAAGAACCCUCUAGCUAGUCCGUCAUUUAUCAUUUUACCUUAAUUUUAUGUUUUUGUCAAUUCUGUAAUUUAAUUAAGUUUAAUUUACUUUUCAUCAAAACCAAACACCCAUCCAUUAUUAAAUUAUAUUAUUUAUUUAGUUUUCUUUAUUGUUAGUCUUUUAAUUUAAUUUCCGUCCAUUUCAGUUCCUAGUGUUUAAUUUAAUUGUUUUCAUUAUUUUGAGUCAUUUUAAGUGUGUUUCGAGUUAUUAGAGUUUUUAGCCUAGUUUUGUGUCCUUGAGUCUUAUUUAAUAUUUUUAAGUUAAUUUAAUAGAUUAGCAAUCCCUCCUAAUCCCCGGCCUAGAACGAUACCCUACUUACAUCUAUACUACAAUUGUCAAAAAGAGGGUUUAAUUUGUGUGUCAAGUAAUUUUACGCAUCAAAUUUUGGCGCCGUUGCCGGGGAUUAGCAACUUUGCUAAUCCUUUUAUUUUUGUUUUUGUUUAUGUUUAUAUUGGUGUUUGUGUAUUUUACUUUUGAUAUUUGAUUUAUUUUUCUUUCUUUGAUUUUAGGUUCAAAUGGAGCCGAGGGAAAUUUAAAGGAAAGAUGCGUCCGGCUAAAGACGUUAAAUCAAGCGCUUCUUGGGAGGCAACCCAAGCAUUCAACGAAGGGAAACUUUGGAAUCACUAACCCAAUCAGCUUUGCAUUCUUCCACCCUUAUCUUUACUGCUUUCAUUUUGUUUUGUUUAGUUAGUUGUGUUAUUUGGUUGAUUUCUGUGAGUUUGUGUUAUUUAGUUUAAGUGUGGGGGAAGAUUAACCAAAGUCUCUUUACAUUAAUUUACAUUUAAAAAGAAAAAAAAAAAAAAAAAAAGAUAAAAUUUAAAAUUAAUGAUAAAAAAAAAUUUAAAAAAUUUAAAAAAAAAAAAAAAUUUAAAAAAAAAAAAAAAAAAGUACAAAUAUUUUACAAUAAUGUAAACUAAUAGUAUUCAUUGGUCGGGUGGUGCUUCGGUAGUAGGCGGGGCUUCAGCAGUCGGCGGGGCCACAGAAGGAGGAGGCAGCAGAGGUUGAUCAGUUGGAGCUUCACUACGCGGUGCCGCUCCAGAAGACGAAGGCAGAUGCGGUUGGAACAAACCCACAAACCUCCGAUGAUCAAGUAAAAUUUGACCAUCGGUGUCCUGCAUCUGGUCAAUCUUUCUCUUCAUGCUGGUGGCAUAAUUGUGUGCAAGCUUGUGCAAUUGUUUAUUUUCAUGCUUGAGUCCUCUAAUCUCCUCUUUGAGACUCUGUAUUUCAGCCACCAACGAUUCAACGUGACGGGUUCGAGCAAAUAGGCGUUGGGCCAUGUUGGAUACAGAACCCGCACACUGCACGCUAAGAGCCAGAGACUCCUUAACCGCCAAUUCAUCAGACCGCCUAGCGAGCAGUCUGUUAUCUCUGGGGGUGACAAGGUUCCGGGCCACCACCGCAGCAGUCAUGUCAUUUUUCAUCACCGAAUCCCCCACGGUAAGGGGACCGGUGGGGGAUAUGAAGGAUGGGCGCCAUAUAUUGUCUGGUGAAGGCGGAGCUACCUCUUCACGAAUGUUCAAGUCAAAACGUCGAUCAGAAGGGCCUGCCAUUUUCUGAAGGUGGUGAAGAAAGAAGAGAGUCGGAAUGAUCAAGAUUAAACAAGUGCAAGAAGGGAGUGUUUACAGGAGGGUGCUCAAGUGUGUUGUGGAACAAAAUUAGCGCCUCUAUAAAAAGAAGAAAUCGGAGACGCGCUCCUCAGAAAUUGAAGAGGCGUCCUCUCGCAAAUCGAAGAGUCGGGGCUCCGUUCUCAAAACGCCUGAUUCUUUUCUCAAAAGAGGAGUUUCCUUUCUCAAAAGCCGGAUUCUUUUCUCAAAAGAGGCGUUUUAUUUCUCGAAAUUAUGGGCUUGCUCAGAACCCACGAGUCGAACCCCGGAUUUCAAAAGAUAAAUUUGUCCAGACGUGUUGUCACUCGUCACAGCUUUGCGGAAAUUACGGGCAGCUUUGUCAGAAAGCGCGUAAUUUGUACUAUUCAUCCAUCCACCGGCUGCCGACAAUGAGUGAGAGAACAGUUCCGGUUGUGAAGACAAGUCCUAUAAGUUUCUACCUUCGCCUUCCACAGCAAAGGCACACCCUCUCAGCACUUCUUCAUCUCCGAGAAUGCAUUCCCAAAGAACCCUCUCGAGUCACUCUGUGUUCCUCAUUCCUUGGGAUACUCCUGCGAACAACCCAUUCAAAGCAAAAGUAUUUCAUAUCAUGAAGGUUGAAAGCAAGAGUAUCUCAUAUCAUGCUUUCUCCCUGUCCUUUCUCCAGCCAGCACCUGCUCUCGAGUACUCAUCAUCUUAUGUUUCCGCUUCGUCUCUCACGUAUAAGGGAAGUGAUGAUGAUUCCUCGAAGCAUGUGGAGACAACGUGCUGAUUCAUCCUCAGCUAGGGACAAGGAGAAAGAGAGCAAGAGGUGGGCACUUGGAAAGAUUGAAGAAAGAAACAGACCAACACCUCUCCCUCGUGCCUGCCCGCCAUGCAGAGGAAACAAGCAAAGAAGAAUGCAGCUUGCGCAAUCAUCCCAGCGGAAGAGUCUGAGAUGAAGAACAAGAGAAGCUGCCACAUCUGCUUGGAGAACAAAUAAGGAACUGCAACAUUCCCAAAGAGCAAAGCCUUGCAGUACAAUAGCAUAAAAUCAUCACUUGCAAGUGAAAAGCUAAGUGUCACCCUGUUCAAGAGGAAAGCUGUGGAAAGUCAACAAGCACGACCAAUGAUUACUUAUUAGUUUUAUUCAUUAUCUUUUAUCGUAAUUUUCAAUUUUUCGUUUGCAAUUUUUUUUAAUUAAUUUUCUUGCGUACUUAACUGAAUUUUUCCUUUUCUUUGCAGGAACUUUUGGUUAUUUCCACCCUUGAAGUUGAUUGCAGAAUUUUAGCUUGGGGGUCAUCGCUUGAUUUUACUGCAAAUUAGGGAAGUUUUCAGUCCAAUUGUUUUAUUUUGUUUCUUAUUAUUUAUUUAUUUUAUUUUUUAUUUGCAUUAUAGUGUUUUCUGACAUUGGGGACAAUGUCAAGUUUAAGUGUGGGGGUAGAAAUCUCCAGAAUUUCAUUUGUCUCUGUGUUGUUGUUUUUUUUUUUUUUUUUUUUUUGUGUUCUUAAUUAGUUUUGUUUUCUUUUUAAAAAAAAAAAAAAAAAAAAAACUGUGUUGUUGUUUUUUGUGUUCUUAAUUAGUUUUGUUUUCUUUUAAAAAAAAAAAUUAAAUUAAAAAAAUUUCGGAAAAUUUAAAAAAUCCAAAAAUAUUGUCUUGUUUCCCUUAUUGUUUUGAAUUAGAUUUUUUGUUAGUUUCCCUACCCAAUGAUAUAAUUGGAUCAAAUUUGAACCAUGAUCAUCAAGAACUUAGUUAACAUGUGUUUUGUGAAAUUCCUAAUUCUUUUGUUAGUUUUGUACAUGUUUGAUCAUCUUUGAAAAACCAAAUGCACAUAGCCUUGUUAAUGUGAAACUAAAGCAUGACUUAAAGCUUUAUAUGUGAAUUUAGUGACCAUAUACAUCCUAUGUGAGUUUUUGAGCCUAUUGAAAGUGUGUGCAUUUUUCAUACACUCCUAUUCUUUCAUGUGUGAUGAACUUAUGUGAGAUACAUCUCUAGAACUUGCGUAACGAUCUUUCGAAAUGUUUGUCAUUGAUUGCAUGAACUUGGAAAUGAUAGAGGCAUUAGGUUUACCACUAUGGCCCAAAUAACCAUGUUUCCCAAAGAAAAAUGAUAUCAUUAGAUUGCCAAUUUGAGUCAUGUAUGUUGAGCCUUUUAUUUCUUAUCACCAGAUAUGUCUACCCUUAUACCUGAAACAUUUUUCCUUACCUUUUCCAAGCAAGCUAGUGAGCAAUGUGAGAUUGUUUUAUGAGAAACGUUUGUGAAGUACUGUGAAGAUGUUUAGCAAAAGAUUAAGUGUGGGGGUAUUUCAUGUUUGUAUUAAAAAAAAAAAAAAAAAAAAAAAAAAAAAAAAAAAAAGAGAAAAGAAAAAGAAAGAUUGUAUACUAAGAAAAUAAAAAGUUUUUCAAGUUUCAGUUAAGGGUAUGGUUAGAGGUGCUAGAAGAAUCGCUGGAAAGAUUGAGUUCUUAUAAAUCUAAACAAAAGAAUUGCUUGCAAUAUAGCUUGGAACUUGUGUUUUCCUAUUCUUUCAUUUCAAUAACCCUAUCCCUAAGCCUCAUUACAUCCAAUAAAAGUCCUCUUGAUUUAAGUUUUGCAAUUAUGACUGUGGAGAAGUGAUCUUUAUGCAAGCUUAUGGUAGAAAUUUCACAUUUGUUUCUUUGAGCGAAACACAUUAAAACUAAACACAUGUGUGAUUGAGUGCAUAUCCCGUGAGAAGGUCACUAGUUUGCAUAUGAUGAUUUUAAAAAUAAAAACUUGAAAUUGCAUUAGCAUGGCUAUCUCACACACUACACUUCAAGGAUGAUUCAAAGAUUACUGCUAAUAUUUGAAUAAGGAAGGUGAACUUGGAUUAAUUUGUUUGGUGCUAGCCAUGGUUCUUGAUGAUUUGUUUUCUCGAAUGAAAUUCUAUGAGGGUCACAUAGGGGGAAGCUAAUAUAUAUAUAUAUAUUUUUUUUUGUUACUGCUUGUUCUAGUUUUCUUUGUUUUGCUUGAGGACUAGCAAAAGUUAAGUGUGGGGGUAUUUGAUCGGAUCAUAUUUAUAUAUAUUUUUACUUUGAAUUCACUCGUCUUUUCUUAGUUAGUUCCUUAUAUUUUUGAGCUAUUUACGUUAUUUUUGUGUUUAUAGGAUUUGUUAUGCAAAGAAAAUAAAAAUAGAACAAGUGAAAUUUUAUGUAAUAAAUUCGUCAAAACUGUCUGUGUAGAUCAGCUUUUAAAUUAAAUUAAAAAAAAAUAUAAUAAUGAUAAGUCAUGAUGAUGUUUGAAACAUCAUCAUGAUGGUUUUGUUUUGUAGAAGAAAAGAAAGGAACGGAUGGAGAAGAAGAAAAGAAAGGAAUAAAAAAAAAGGAAAGGAAUAAAAAAUAGAUGAAAGAAGAAUAAGAGGGAGAGUAGGUCAGAGAGGUGGGGCACUGACGGAUUAAAGAAGAAAAAAGAAGAGGAAGUGGACAGCAGUGCAGAGAGCAAGAAGAAUAAGGAAAUAAAGACAGAAGUCAGAGGGAGAGAAGUAAAAAGCUGCCUUUGCAGCACAAGGAGAUGACGCGUGAGCUGGAGAGAGUAUAAAGGAAAAGAUAAAAAAAAAAAAAAAAAAAAAAAAAGAAGAGAAAGAAAAAGCAGGAGUCCACAUGGGAGUCAGUCGCAAGGAAAAAAAGGGAAAAUAAUAGAAGAAGAGGAGUGGGCUGCCUUUGGCAGCUGUGAGACAGCUACGGGAGGACACGGAUUGGAAGAAAAAUAAAAAAAAGGAAAGAGUUAGUGCAUUGAGACGGCAUAAAGGAGCAGAGAGGUCAAACGUGAAGGAAAGAAUUGGUGGAAGGCAGAGGGCUGCCCUUUGGGCAGCGUGAGAAACAGAGAGGAGAGAGGUCAGGGGAGGGCAGACUUGAUUUGAGGGAGCUGCCAGCGCAGCUGGGGAAGAAGGCUGCCCUUGCAGCUGGAGCAAAACCGAAAGAAGGGUGCGCUGCUCUUGGCAGCACCGAGGGCAGAAGCAGCAAGCACUCUCCUCUCUCUCGGUUAAAUCUUUCUAAAUCUAUAUUUUAUUUUCUGUUUUAAUAAUGUGUAAUUAAAUUUUAUUUUGGCUAGAGGUUAAUUCAAAACCAUGAAUAUAUUUGUAAUAUGAAUUGAUUACCUUCGGUUGUGAUUUCAUAAGUUGUGAUUUCAAUUUACUUAUCCGUUCGUAUAAAAACUGAUUUGUGUAUGUUGGUUGAGA
rnacentral:lncRNA from 1 species